CUCAAAAACGUCUCAGAAGUUCAUUUUCACAAACCAAUAUCAAACAUGCACCACAGCGGAACUAGGCCUUAAUGGGUAGGAGGUGGGUAAUGGCCUUGAUUGUAUGCAGGCGGGGGAUAACCUCCAGCUGGAUAGCCUUGACCUUGGGGUGGUGGGUAGCCCUGACCCUGAGGUGGUGGAUAGCCUUGAGGAGGAUAACCAUAUGCUUGUUGUUGAGGUGGAUAUCCAACCGUCGCAGGAUAUGGCUGAUCAAUGCGAGACAUCUGUUGAUGUGGG
rnacentral:lncRNA from 1 species